rnacentral:rRNA from 1 species
CCUACGGGAGGCAGCAGUAGGGAAUCUUCGGCAAUGGACGGAAGUCUGACCGAGCAACGCCGCGUGAGUGAAGAAGGUUUUCGGAUCGUAAAGCUCUGUUGUAAGAGAAGAACGAGUGUGAGAGUGGAAAGUUCACACUGUGACGGUAUCUUACCAGAAAGGGACGGCUAACUACGUGCCAGCAGCCGCGGUAAUACGUAGGUCCCGAGCGUUGUCCGGAUUUAUUGGGCGUAAAGCGAGCGCAGGCGGUUUGAUAAGUCUGAAGUUAAAGGCUGUGGCUCAACCAUAGUUCGCUUUGGAAACUGUCAAACUUGAGUGCAGAAGGGGAGAGUGGAAUUCCAUGUGUAGCGGUGAAAUGCGUAGAUAUAUGGAGGAACACCGGUGGCGAAAGCGGCUCUCUGGUCUGUAACUGACGCUGAGGCUCGAAAGCGUGGGGAGCGAACAGGAUUAGAUACCCGGGUAGUC